CUGACAGAACUGCAGCCUGGAGUACUUCGGUCAGCCGAAACGAGCCCAGCACCAACAGCAGCAGUGCGGGCUUCCCCACAUCAGUCCAUCAUGUCACCUCGCUAUUCUGAAGGAAUCGCCACUGGGGGAAAAGAGACAGUUUGGUCUGCAUGCCCAUUGAAUCCUUCACCUCC
rnacentral:sRNA from 1 species